rnacentral:rRNA from 1 species
AUUGAACGCUGGCGGCAGGCCUAACACAUGCAAGUCGAGCGGAUGAAGGGAGCUUGCUCCUGGAUUCAGCGGCGGACGGGUGAGUAAUGCCUAGGAAUCUGCCUGGUAGUGGGGGAUAACGUCCGGAAACGGGCGCUAAUACCGCAUACGUCCUGAGGGAGAAAGUGGGGGUUCUUCGGACCUCACGCUAUCAGAUGUGCCUAGGUCGGAUUAGCUAGUUGUUGGGGUAAAGGCCUACCAAGGCGACGAUCCGUAACUGGUCUGAGAGGAUGAUCAGUCACACUGGAACUGAGACACGGUCCAGACUCCUACGGGAGGCAGCAGUGGGGAAUAUUGGACAAUGGGCGAAAGCCUGAUCCAGCCAUGCCGCGUGUGUGAAGAAGGUCUUCGGAUUGUAAAGCACUUUAAGUUGGGAGGAAGGGCAGUAAGUUAAUACCUUGCUGUUUUGACGUUACCAACAGAAUAAGCACCGGCUAACUUCGUG